AUCCCUUCCCAUGGCAGACUCCACUCACACAUGGGCUUCUUACUCUUCAGCCACUGGAUCUCCGUUUUGUCAUUGCAUAUUGAACUGAAGUGGAUUCAGAACAUCACUGCAGUGAAAGUGAAAAGACAGAGACCCUCAAGGCACAGAAAGAUCAGCAGGAUUAUAGUUACAGGAGGCGAAAUAUCACUGCAUUCAAACCACUGCCCACGUUUCCAGAUGAACUGGAGCCCGCAAAGGACUAGCGUGGCGCUGAUGACAGAGCUUUGUACCAAGUGAAGGGCACAAAAAACCCUCUGCUUCUUUCCUCCUACUCAAUUGUGCACCCAGGGCAGUGCUGAUAUAUUUCCCAAUACCUCUUUUGCAAGUCCUGUAGUGCAGUGGGCAUGCUGCGCUUGAUACAGCGGCACUGUGGGUGCUUGUAGAUCACUUCUUCCGGCUUCAGCUGCAAACUCUUCUACCUAUUCUUUAUUAUCACCGCCUUUGGGGACUGCCUCUCGGGUAGGUGAGCAGGGUCCUUAACCGAGAGGCAAAGCGAGCACCUCUUGCGUUAAAAAGACCUCGUGGACCCCCGAGUACCGGAAGUCCUUGGAGCGCAGGAGCGUGGCAAUCCGCAUUCGCCACCGGAAGCUACGUCAUGAAGGCGCCGGUCUUGCUGCUGCUGUGAGGGUGAACCAGGCAGUAACAGCCACGUCGUCGGAGGAAGAGGCGGACCAUUUUCAUUUUCAGUCCAGAGAGAAUGAAGUUCGACAUGCCUGAGACUGUGUUCUGAAGACCGCAUAGUUUCCUCGCGCACAUCGCAAAUGAUUUCUAAACAUUACUAGAAUAUUUUGCGCCUUUUCUUCGGGAUCUUAAGGUGCAUACUGCCCUGUGUGAUAGGAUAACGAAGCACAGGUGAGGUCGCCACAUGCUGCUAUGCUGCUGUCCUGCCCGGGCAGUGGGGGCAGUGGGAAGGAGGCGGCCGCCUAGCAGACAGGAGAGCCGGGUCCAGCCUCCGUGAGCAUUAAUUAACGUGUGACUCAAAUGACGGGCCUGCAGCAGUCAAGCUUUUGCCAAGGCAGAAAAAUGGCCUUCCUAAGACAUCUGCAUCCUAAGUCCUGGAACUUGUGAAUGUGUCAUGUUGCAUGGCCUAUCUGUGUGGGCCAGGUGUAAUCAUGAGGAUCCUUAAAAGAGACAGAGGCAGAAGAAGAGAGAAGAUUAAUAUGAUGCAAGAUAACUGGUGAAAGUUCAGAAGAGCCAUCUAGCUGACCAGUCCCUGAACAUGGACACAUGCUCUUUCAUGGCAUGAAAAUGAAGGUCCAGAAAUUGCACAUGAAACCUGCAAAUGAAUGUAUCUUCGAAACCGAGGAAGGAAAGGAGAUGAGUGAUCUGGGAGAUGUCGCAUAGAGGGAAUUGACAAAAACUGGAGAGAAUAAAGUUUGAAAAGGAAGAGCUGUCAAGGAGGACAACCAGGUUUCCCAUCUGAGAGACCAGAAGGAAAAAGUUACAAGAACCAUAUGAGGAUAACAGAGAAACGCCCUCAAGAACUUGAGAACAUGAGAUAAUGUCACUGGAGAAAGUCACUACACAAUUGAUAAGAAGAGAAAUGAAGUCAUUUAAGAGCUACAUUUCAGAUGGUGUCAGGACCUACCGGACAGGUACAUUCCCUGUGAUUUGAACAUGGAAGUAAGAAGGAAGAGGAGUACAAACCGUUCGUUUCCUAAUAGAGAUCACAGUGGCAGCACUGUGGCCCAGGAAAAAGCACCAGCCACAAUGGGGAUGGCGGUUUUCCUGAUGGGACAAACAGAGGGCCACGGUCACAUCUUUCUGCUUCAACAGGUUCCUGUAGACAUGACCUCAAGCUUCUCGACCACACACAUGGCUGAGCAGGGCAAUCCUAAGAGAAAGGAGCUCUGCCUGGAGCCCAUUCUCCCAGCCUUUCCAACAGUUUCACAAAUUACUGAAGUACCUGCCUAGUAGUAAAUCCUCUUCUGUUCAAAUUAUCUACAGUGGAUUCUGCUAUCUGCUGUUGGAUUUUUCUCUUUCCUCUCUCUCAGUUUCUCUUUCAUUUCUUUCUCUCCCUUCAUUUCUCCUUCUCUCAUAUACAGACACACACACAGACACACACACACACAUGCAUCCCAUAGAGCAAAAGAUAGGUACAAAGAAAAAUAUCAAAUAAAAUGAUGGUAUUAAGGUUAAGGACAGUGAGUAUAAUAAUGUAGGCCAAUGUGAUAAAUUCACCUUGCAUCGUAUUAAAUUUUAAAUAUUUGUUGAAAGAGAUGCAAUCAUAACAAAGUGGCUCUACAAGGAUAAAGAUGUACCUGGAGAGAUGCAAAUAAAGAGAUAACAGGAGUUGAUACUAUGGAUAGCAGACACAUUUAAUGGAAAAACUUAAAUUAAGACAAAUAGUAGCUCUUCGAAAUGAUAAAAAUUAAGUGCCACAGUCAACCUUUAAACAUCAGGUAACAACCAAAAAUGCCAGUACUGAAAAUUGCUAUAAGUUCAAGAAGAAAGUCGGAAACAAAAUAAUAACAAGAAAUUGAAUUUUGCCUCUCUAGACCAGAGAAUUGGCCAAUUUUUCUAGCAAGGGCCAGACAGUAAAUGACUACCAAAGGCCACGGUUUCUGUCACAAACAUACAACUCUGCCAGAGACAUCGUGUAAAGAAAUAGGUAUGGCUGUGUUUCAGUAUUACUUUAUUUACAAAAACAGGUUGUGUGGGAGUUCCCGUGGUGGCACAGUGGUUAACGAAUCCAACUAGGAACCAUGAGGUUGCGGGUUCCAUCCCUGCCCUUGCUAAGUGGGUUGAUGAUCCGGCGCUGCCGUGAGCUGUGGUGUAGGUUGCAGACGCAGCUCAGAUCCCGAGUUGCUGUGGCUGUGGUGUAGGCCGGUGGCUACAGCUCUGACUGGACCCCUAGCCGGCUCCACAUGCCGUGGGAGCGGCCCAAGAAAUAGCAAAAAAAAAAAAAAAAAAAAAAAAAAAAAA
rnacentral:lncRNA from 1 species